rnacentral:lncRNA from 1 species
GCCAGGGGCUGGGCUUUAACCCACUUCGUUAAGUAAUCUAUUUGCCACUAAAAGGAAUUUCUAUUAGGCCUGACCAGGGGGGAAAGGACCGACGAUGUCCAUUCCCCAUUGGGCGAACGACCAUGGCGAUAUGAUCGGGUGUAAGGUAUGCAGUGGCACGUGCGUGUCGUUGGCAUGGGCUUAACACUUAAGGCACUUUUGCACGAACAUCCUUGUAUCCUCCUCCAUUGUCGGCCCGGAGUACAAGGGCUUUCAAGGUCCGUUGUCCGGUGUGGAAGCCGCCAAUGCCAUUGUGCAGUUCAUCCAUUACAUAAUGCACUUCAUCUUUGGCUAGGCACUUAAGUAGAGGGGUAGAGAACCCUCUCCGGUAUAGCUCUUCGCCGAUCAUCACGAAUCUGGCUAUCCUUUUGGUGUCGGUUGGGCGCAAGGGUAUGUCGUCGUCUUACUUCUUCAUUAGCUCUCGA